UACGUAGGGGGCAAGCGUUGUCCGGAAUCAUUGGGCGUAAAGCGCGCGUAGGCGGCCCGAUAAGUCCGCUGUGAAAGUCCAGGGCUCAACCCUGGAAAGCCGGUGGAUACUGUCGGGCUAGAGUCCGGAAGAGGCGAGUGGAAUUCAUGGUGUAGCGGUGGAAUGCGCAGAUAUCAGGAGGAACACCAAAGGCGAAGGCAGCUCGCUGGGACGGUACUGACGCUGAGGUGCGAAAGCGUGGGGAGCAAACAGG
rnacentral:rRNA from 1 species